rnacentral:tRNA from 2 species
UGGGACGUCGGCAAGCGGUAAGCCCCCGGCUUUUGGUGCCGGUAUUCCACAGGUUCGAAUCCUGUCGUCCCAGCGA